CUUCGGCCCGAGCUGGUUUUGUCUCCGGCGGCCGCUGCUAGAAUGAAGAUCCGCCUGAGAGAGAGAUUUGGCGGUUAAUCCUGAGGAGAUUUCGGCGGGCACAGGUCUCAAGAGGAAUACUUCAGCUGCAAAAAGAAUUCAUUCGAUUCAUCUUUUUCAACGAGUGAUUGCUAUUGAAUCAAAGGAGUCGGACCGCGCUGCUGGAGCCAUAAACAUCUAUACGAGUGACUCUGUCUGAUUCGAUUCACUGAACCAUUCAAAUGAGUCAUUUGUUUGUAAGUCAAACUGAGCACGCUAUAGUAGCAUUACACCUGCUAAGAUAAUUCAAUAUGUGCAAUCUGAAUUUAAUAAUAAUAUUUAUUUUGUGGUAACACUGCCGUGUGGGCAGCUCUGACAGAGAAAAACACUAUAGAUACGUAAGAGAAAGCCGUAAAAUGUAAGUGCAUCAUCUUUUGUUCUUGAAUGGAGGCCUAAUCUGUCUGCUGCACUUCAGCAGGUUCAGUUUUUAGAGUGAAUGAAAACUUCUGAAGCAUAGAUAUGCCGUGUGAUGUGAUUAAAAUCAUACUUAUUUUACUGUGGUGGGGAUUAUUAUGAGCAAACAAAUUUAAAAGUUUAAUCUGAACACUAUAUAUAUGUAAUCUGACAUUUAUUUAUUUUAUUUUUUUACAGAAAUUCUGAGCUGCUGCAUGAACAUUCAUCAAACAUAUAAGGCUGCAAUUUGGAAAAAAACUUUCAAGCUAAUGCUGCUGAAAUGGAGGUCAAGGGGACUAUGAAGAGGUGGCUUCCAGCUGAUCAAAAGUUACAAUAAUCAGCUGAUCCAGUCGGUAUCCAGACCAGACGGUGGACCUGCACCAGGAGUGACCACAACACAUCCCUGACUGUCAGCGGAGACCAUGUCAGCUAGAUGACAGAUCCCUGUGAAGACCUCACUGAUGGCCUCAGCACAGAUCCUCAGCAAAGACUACGAGAACCAGACAAGCCCUCUGCACAGACCCUUUUACCAGCUUCACCUGCUGGCGUGAUGUUUCCUCAAGCAGAAGAAGUUGGAUGAAAUAUUCUGAAUGAUAUCAAUCCACAAUCUGACUUGUGAUGCAGCCUGGAAUAAUCACACCACGUUCAUUCGUUUGGCCAGACGAGACUGUUUCCUGACUGAGCCGGGUCUUGUUUGGGUUUGGGUUCCUUGUCACUGUUGCCUUUUGUCUUGCUUGGUUGAAGACACCUAAUAUUCAGCAAUAUUAUUGACUUGACUGCACUGACACCAUUUGAUAAGAACUGAACUGAAUUAUGACACACAAUGUUUUAUAU